UGCUAGGCACUCCCUCAAAAUGUGUUUUCCUUUGCAGCAAGAUCUGCACGGCUCUCCCUGGCUUGUUUGCAAUCAAAGCUUCCCUGUGAAUACUGAGCACCGGCCUCAUGAUGCRGCCCAAACAAGUGAUACUCCAGAUGCAACCCAGAACAGUUCUGGUGUGACAUGAAAGCAGCUCCACUCUGCAGCAGUACAAAGAUGGAGAGCCUGGAUCACGCUGGGACAACUUGCCCCAGGCCCCAAAGCAGGAGGAGCAGUCCCUGUGGAGACCGUCAGUCGAGCGGUACCCAGAGUUCGCCACCGGACCGUGCUCCUUUGCUCUCCAGGGGUUGCGAGUUCAGCUGGAAACCGCAGUGCUUCUGGAUGACGUUUUCCUCUCCUCCCAGUGAAUCAGCCUUUUAUUUACUCUUUGGAAUGCAAAGUAACAGGACACCCUGUGUGUUAAGCCUCAUCGAGCUGCUGCCAGAACACCGUUGUGGCCACACUGAUAUAAAAAGACAAGCUGAGGCGGAAGAGGUGACAGCUUUUAUUUAAUGAACCGAUAUAGGUGAGAAGAAACCGAGGUUUUGUUUGUUGCUGAUUACUGCCACUGCAUGUGGGUAAGUUAUUUGAUCUUUCUGCUUCAGUUACAUCCUUCUUCAUACUGGAGACAGUGACUUGGCUGGGUUUGGCAGCCAUCAGUCAAACUAGAGACCCGUGCAAGUAUCUGUCACUGCAAAAGCACGUGACAGACUCUUUAUUGAGAGCUGCCGCUUCGAUGAUCUGGGUCUGUACAGUGCCCAGAAAAAGGGGGCCCCGAGCUACCACGAUGACUUAGCCRUUACUGCAGCACAGGCACUAAAUAAAUCAUCGCUUUAGCAGCUAAGAAACA
rnacentral:lncRNA from 1 species